rnacentral:rRNA from 1 species
GAGGAAUAUUGGUCAAUGGACGUAAGUCUGAACCAGCCAAGUAGCGUGCAGGAUGACGGCCCUAUGGGUUGUAAACUGCUUUUGUAUGGGGAUAAAGUCAAUCACGUGUGAUUGUUUGCAGGUACCAUACGAAUAAGGACCGGCUAAUUCCGUGCCAGCAGCCGCGGUAAUACGGAAGGUCCGGGCGUUAUCCGGAUUUAUUGGGUUUAAAGGGAGCGUAGGCCGGAGAUUAAGUGUGUUGUGAAAUGUAGACGCUCAACGUCUGACUUGCAGCGCAUACUGGUUUCCUUGAGUACGCACAACGUUGGCGGAAUUCGUCGUGUAGCGGUGAAAUGCUUAGAUAUGACGAAGAACUCCGAUUGCGAAGGCAGCUGACGGGAGCGCAACUGACGCUUAAGCUCGAAGGUGCGGGUAUCGAACAGGAUUAGAUACCCUGGUAGUCCGCACAGUAAACGAUGGAUGCCCGCUGUUGGUGCCUGGUAUCAGCGGCUAAGCGAAAGCAUUAAGCAUCCCACCUGGGGAGUACGCCGGCAACGGUG